rnacentral:tRNA from 1 species
GGAGAGAUGGCUCAGCAGUCAAGAGCACUGGCUGCUCUUCCAGAGGACCUGGGUUCGACUCCCAGCACCU